CCUACGGGAGGCAGCAGUGGGGAAUAUUGGACAAUGGGCGAAAGCCUGAUCCAGCCAUGCCGCGUGUGUGAAGAAGGCCUUCGGGUUGUAAAGCACUUUCAGUGGGGAAGAAAGCCUUGGGGCUAAUACCCUCGAGGAAGGACAUCACCCACAGAAGAAGCACCGGCUAACUCCGUGCCAGCAGCCGCGGUAAUACGGAGGGUGCGAGCGUUAAUCGGAAUUACUGGGCGUAAAGCGCGCGUAGGCGGUCUGAUAAGCCGGUUGUGAAAGCCCCGGGCUCAACCUGGGAACGGCAUCCGGAACUGUCAGGCUAGAGUGCAGGAGAGGAAGGUAGAAUUCCCGGUGUAGCGGUGAAAUGCGUAGAGAUCGGGAGGAAUACCAGUGGCGAAGGCGGCCUACUGGACUGACACUGACGCUGAGGUGCGAAAGCGUGGGUAGCAAACAGGAUUAGAUACCCGAGUAGUC
rnacentral:rRNA from 1 species